rnacentral:rRNA from 1 species
AUUGAACGCUGGCGGCAUGCCUUACACAUGCAAGUCGAACGGCAGCACGGGUGCUUGCACCUGGUGGCGAGUGGCGAACGGGUGAGUAAUACAUCGGAACGUACCUUAUCGUGGGGGAUAACGCAGCGAAAGCUGUGCUAAUACCGCAUACGCCCUGAGGGGGAAGGCGGGGGAUCGAAAGACCUCGCGCGAUUAGAGCGGCCGAUGCCUGAUUAGCUUGUUGGUGGGGUAAAAGCCCACCACGGCGACGACCAGUAGCUGGUCUGAGAGGACGAUCAGCCACACUGGGACUGAGACACGGCCCAGACUCCUACGGGAGGCAGCAGUGGGGAAUUUUGGACAAUGGGGGCAACCCUGAUCCAGCAAUGCCGCGUGAGUGAAGAAGGCCUUCGGGUUGUAAAGCUCUUUUGUCAGGGAAGAAACACCGGCUCUAACACAGUCCGGGAAUGACGGUACCUGAAGAAUAAGCACCGGCUAACUACGUGCCAGCCGCCGCCGUAA